AGAGUUUGAUCCUGGCUCAGAUUGAACGCUGGCGGCAUGCUUUACACAUGCAAGUCGAACGGCAGCACGGGAGCAAUCCUGGUGGCGAGUGGCGAACGGGUGAGUAAUAUAUCGGAACGUGCCCAGUCGUGGGGGAUAACGCAGCGAAAGCUGUGCUAAUACCGCAUACGAUCUCUGGAUGAAAGCGGGGGACUCGCAAGAGCCUCGCGCGAUUGGAGCGGCCGAUAUCAGAUUAGCUAGUUGGUGGGGUAAAGGCUCACCAAGGCGACGAUCUGUAGCUGGUCUGAGAGGACGACCAGCCACACUGGAACUGAGACACGGUCCAGACUCCUACGGGAGGCAGCAGUGGGGAAUUUUGGACAAUGGGCGCAAGCCUGAUCCAGCAAUGCCGCGUGCAGGAUGAAGGCCUUCGGGUUGUAAACUGCUUUUGUACGGAACGAAACGGUUCUCUCUAAUAAAGAGGGCUAAUGACGGUACCGUAAGAAUAAGCACCGGCUAACUACGUGCCAGCAGCCGCGGUAA
rnacentral:rRNA from 1 species